rnacentral:rRNA from 1 species
AAUGAACGUUGGCGGCGUGGAUUAGGCAUGCAAGUCGAGCGAGAACCCAGCAAUGGGGGACAGCGGCGAAAGGGACAGUAAUGCGUAGGUGACGUGCCCUGGGGUCGGGGAUAGCUUAGGGAAACUUAAGGUAAUACCCGAUAAUCCCGGUAGGUUUGAAGACCAUCCGGGCAAAGGUGUGAUUCCACCUCAGGAGCGGCUUGCGUGGUAUUAGCUAGUUGGUGAGGUAACGGCUCACCAAGGCUACGAUGCCUAGGGGAUGUUAGCGCAUGAUCCCCACCACUGGGACUGAGAUACUGCCCAGACACCUACGGGUGGCUGCAGUCGAGAAUCUUCGGCAAUGGGGGAAACCUGACCGAGCGACGCCGCGUGUGGGAUGAAGGCCCUUGGGUUGUAAACCACUGUCAGAGGGGAUGAAGUGCUAGAAAGCUAUCUUUCUAGUUUGACAUAGCCUCAGAGGAAGCACGGGCUAAGUUCGUGCCAGCAGCCGCGGUAA